AUGGGGGUGCCGGCAGGAGCUCUGAUCAUCGCCAUGCAGGGAUUGGCUAGAGCUCUGAUCAUCGCCAUGCAGGGAUUGGCUGGAGCUCUGAUCAUCGCCAUGCAGGGAUUGGCUGGAGCUCUGAUCAGCACCAUGCAGGGAUUGGCAGGAGAAACAGUCCGGGAGUGCCCGUUUGCAGUUGACGGAUGACCUGAUUGGUGAUUUGAGCAGCAGUGGGCGGAUCCAGGAUGUAGACAAGGACAUACAGAAGAUCCAGGAGCUGCUCAGUUUACCAUGGAACGAGUCCGUGGCCCAAGACUGACAGCCAAUGACAGCAGCUGAAAUACUCAGAUACCAAUCAUAGCCAUCCUCACAGACAGACAAUGGUGGGUGGGACUUUCCUCACCCCUGAGGACAUACUGUUUUUUUUAAAUGUUGACUACUCUGUUCUGUUUACUCCUGUUGAAUGGAAAAUGGGACCUACUUAUUCGCUCAACAAAAUAUGUACUGAUCCUGUAUUAUGAUUUAUACUGUAAAUGUAAUCGCUUUGUCUGGAACUUUUAAAUGAUUUCCAACAUAUUUAAUAUAAAUGCCAAUAAUGACACAGUAUCUUCAGGUCUGAAAUUCACUGCCUUAGUCAUGACAUUGUGUGCAAAGUACAUGAGGCUGAGAGCCAGUGGGUCUGAAGUUGUGGUCCCAUUAUUCAGAAGAACUUUGAGGAAAAGCACUACAUUUUAGUCAUUUAGCCAGAUGCCCUUAUCCAGAGCAACUUAGGAUUGUGUCUUGCUCAAGCACACAUCAACAGAUUUUUCACUUAGUCGGCUCGGGAUUCAAACCAGCGACCUUUUGGCUACUAUCCCAACGCUCUUAACUGCUAGGCUGCCUGCUGCCCAGUGUAUAGGUUAAGACAAUCACAUUGCUAUUCUGUUCAGAUAAAUGAUCAAGCAACCGACUGCUAGGCCAUUCCACGGUAAUGAUGCUGAGACUCCGAUUUAAAAAAAAAAUGUAUGCCAAACAAAAACCAAUGAUUGCAAAGUUAAACAAACCAUAAAACUCUAUGCACAAGGAUGACUUAACAAUUUCCAUUGAACAAUUUACAAAAACAUUUGAAGAACAGUGCAAAUUCAAAGUUUGUUAAUAGAAGAAUGGUUUGUGCCGUCCUGUUACCAAACUUGGCAUCUGCUCUGUUCAAGUAAAUGUGUUUUUGUAAAAAUGUUAAACAUUUAGAAUUGAAAAAUCAGAGUCUCAGCAUUCUGUUAGCAUGGAAUUGACCUGCUUUAUUCUUUCUUAAUCACAGUGGAGCAUGUGUCUAGAAACAUACAAAUUGAAUUACAAUCUGUGUGUGUGUGUGUUUCCAUGUCUGUGAUGUUGGCCCCUAGGCUUGUCAGCAGCAACUAGGUCAACCAUUGCCCCUGCUGUAAACAAGAUGUGGCACAGUAACAGCUGGGGCUCAGACUGACAACAUAUAGCCACAGCUAACAUUCUAAUUCUACUUUAAAGGUUUGGUCAGUGACAGCUAUGUGCUUUAGUGUGUCAUUAAGUUAUGAUUUUUUUAAUUUAACUAGGCAAGUCAGUUAAGAACAAAUUCUUAUUUUCAAUGAUGGCAUAGGAACAGUGGGUUAACUGCCUUGUUCAGUGGCAAAACGACAGAUUUUGUACCACGUCAGCUCAGGGAUUCGAUUUUGCAACCUUUCAGUCACAAGUCAAACACUCGAACCACUACCUGCCGCUCCAUCUGAAUGAAUCACAUUUCAUGUCCUAUCAGAGGGAAUCUCCUCAGAUCAACAAGUGAUGUAAGUGUUAUUAUGCAAAUUAGUUUUUGUUGAAAUGCAACGCAAAUGUCUCCUUUUGUUCCACGGAGCUGUUACUAAAGAAAUACAUUCCUCUUCACCUCCCAGCUGAAGGCUAGCCUACAGUCCAAUUUAAAUAAUUGGAUUGGAAUGGCAUUAGGAAUGUAUGGAAUUUAUUUUCAGGGCACUGAGCAGCGUGUUUUAGACAAAAUUAUGACGUGCUUUUAAAACAUUUUACCAAAACAAUUCAUGCUGCUGUACAUUUGCCUAGAUUGUAUAACAUCUCUAUGCCUACAGUGUGUAUGUAAAGCUGUCAAAGCUAAUGGGAUUCCCACUGCACCGGAAAUAACAUUGGAAAGGUAGGUGUCUAUAGAAAAGCAACCUCAGAGGUAACGUGAGAAAAUGCAAAUGAAAACCAACCAAUUUUGUGCAGUUGAAAACCUCACCACUGUCAGUUCCUUGUCUCACUGCAUCAAUAUUGACAUCGCCAUGUGCCCGCUAACAUAACGUUGGGUUACGGAUGUAGCCUUGGUUCUCUGAGUAGUCUGUCGCCAAGCGAUUUAUGGGAACUCCGUCACGCGAUGUGAUUUAAAUGCUUAAUAUCAAAUCAAAUGUAUUUAUAUAGCCCUUCGUACAUCAGCUGAUAUCUCAAAGUGCUGUACAGAAACCCAGCCUAAAAUCCCAAACAGCAAGCGAUGCAGGUGUAGAAGCACGGUGGCUAGGAAAAACUCCCUAGAAAGGCCAAAACCUAGGAAGAAACCUAGAGAGGAGCCAGGCUAUGUGGGGUGGCCAGUCCUCAUCUGGCUGUGCCGGGUGGAGAUUAUAACAGAACAUGGCCAAGAUGUUCAAAUGUUCAUAAAUGACCAGCAUGGUCCAAUAAUAAUAAGGCAGAACAGUUGAAACUGGAGCAGCAGCAUGGCCAGGUGGACUGGGGACAGCAAGGAGUCAUGUCAGGUAGUCCUGAGGCAUGGUCCUAGGGCUCAGGUCCCCUGAGAGAGAGAAAGAAAGAGAGAAUUAGAGAGAGAGCACACUUAAAUUCACACAGGACACCGAAUAGGACAGGAGAAGUACUCCAGAUAUAACAAACUGACCCUAUCCCCCCCACACAUAAACUACUGCGGCAUAAAUACUGGAGGCUGAGACAUAUCAAACGUUUAAGUGAUAAUGUCAGCUUCUAGGGCAUUAUCACUGUUUGUUUUUUUUACAACGGGUUACCAACUUAGGGAAAUAAUGAUUGACAUAUUUUCAUUAAAAAAGUUAUUUUGAUACAUUUAUUCGUACUAUUUCAUCCUUCCACAAGAGAGUCCUGACACAAAUCUAGGGUUGCUUCGUUCUUUUUGUUCUGUAUCUGUUGACGCGACUCAGUCGUUCGUUCUAAAUGCCAUACUGACUGGCAACGUAAUUAUUUAUUAUUCAGACAAAAUAAAGACAAUCAUGAUAUUGAUUUGAGCUGAUUUUAAUAAAUGAAACCAUACAUUCACGUUGUUAUCCACCACAGCUGACUUAAGUUAUAAUGGGCGAGAGGCCGGUGUUUGUUGGAUAUAUUGGCACCGGUGUCUCCCUUGGGUCUAGAUGAUUCUUUAUGGCCUCGUUAUAUGCGAGAGUGGCGUAUCUGAGAGAAUGCAUUGUUAUAUUGUUUUCCAGUUGUCUAAUUACGAGUGCACCUUAGAAAUAACAAACAGGUUAUGAACAACAUACCUUAGGCUUAGGCCGUUGGGCUUUAGUUGUCUGUUCCCGUCUUUUCCUCUUCGACCCAGAUGUAACUGGAUGUCGAACCACACUUUCUGGACCAGACCCCUUGGUGUACCGGGAUUCAGAGCCUGGGAGUUUUGGAGCUGGGCCAUGUCCUUAUCGGUGAAGGGAGGGUGGCUGAUUGUGAUAUAUUUUCCUUGUCGUAUUAGCUGUUUGAUGUUUCCCUGAAAUACAUGAGGUGGUAAAUUCAGUGUCCUGCAUAAGGCACCAGCUGCGACCGAUGGGUGGGUUAUUUAGAAACCGGUUGAGCCGGUAACUAACUACAUAUGCUGUACUGCUCCCCCUUCCCAUUUCGUACAUUUCCAUAAAACUGUCGGAGAAGGAUGUUACACUCUUCCUUAGUGACCGUUUUGAAGUAAACAACUGUUUUAUUCUCUGCUAGCCAGC
ensembl:lncRNA